GAUGAACGCUGGCGGCGUGCCUAAUACAUGCAAGUCGAGCGAACAGAUAAGGAGCUUGCUCCUUUGACGUUAGCGGCGGACGGGUGAGUAACACGUGGGUAACCUACCUAUAAGACUGGGAUAACUUCGGGAAACCGGAGCUAAUACCGGAUAAUAUUUCGAACCGCAUGGUUCGAUAGUGAAAGAUGGUUUUGCUAUCACUUAUAGAUGGACCCGCGCCGUAUUAGCUAGUUGGUAAGGUAACGGCUUACCAAGGCGACGAUACGUAGCCGACCUGAGAGGGUGAUCGGCCACACUGGAACUGAGACACGGUCCAGACUCCUACGGGAGGCAGCAGUAGGGUAUCUUCCGCAAUGGGCGAAAGCCUGACGGAGCAACGCCGCGUGAGUGAUGAAGGUCUUCGGAUCGUAAAACUCUGUUAUUAGGGAAGAACAUACGUGUAAGUAACUGUGCACGUCUUGACGGUACCUAAUCAGAAAGCCACGGCUAACUACGUG
rnacentral:rRNA from 1 species